UACGAAGGGGGCGAGCGUUGUUCGGAAUUACUGGGCGUAAAGCGCACGUAGGCGGCUACUCAAGUCAGAGGUGAAAGCCCAGGGCUCAACCUUGGAACUGCCUUUGAAACUAGGUAGCUAGAAUUCUGGAGAGGUCAGUGGAAUUCCGAGUGUAGAGGUGAAAUUCGUAGAUAUUCGGAAGAACACCAGUGGCGAAGGCGACUGACUGGACAGAUAUUGACGCUGAGGUGCGAAAGCGUGGGGAGCAAACAGG
rnacentral:rRNA from 1 species